rnacentral:rRNA from 1 species
UACGUAGGGUGCAAGCGUUGUCCGGAAUUAUUGGGCGUAAAGAGCUCGUAGGCGGUCUGUCACGUCUGCUGUGAAACUCGGGGCUUAACCCCGGGCCUGCAGUGGGUACGGGCAGACUAGAGUGCGGUAGGGGAGACUGGAAUUCCUGGUGUAGCGGUGAAAUGCGCAGAUAUCAGGAGGAACACCGGUGGCGAAGGCGGUUCUCUGGGCAUUACCUGACGCUGAGGAGCGAAAGUGUGGGGAGCGAACAGG